rnacentral:rRNA from 1 species
AAUCACAGACAUAUCACCCUACAGCCCAAGACCGGUUACUCACUGAAGCUAAGCAGGGCUGAGCCUGGUCAGUACCUGGAUGGGAGACCACUAGGGAACAAUAGGUUGCUGUUGGAA